rnacentral:rRNA from 1 species
AAAUGACUCUCGGCAACGGAUAUCUCGGCUCUCGCAUCGAUGAAGAACGUAGCGAAAUGCGAUACUUGGUGUGAAUUGCAGAAUCCCGUGAACCAUCGAGUCUUUGAACGCAAGUUGCGCCCAAAGCCUUUUGGCCAAGGGCACGUCUGCUUGGGUGUCACGCAU